CGCGGCCUAUCAGCUUGUUGGUGAGGUAAUGGCUCACCAAGGCUUCGACGGGUAGCCGGCCUGAGAGGGCGACCGGCCACACUGGGACUGAGAUACGGCCCAGACUCCUACGGGAGGCAGCAGUGGGGAAUAUUGCACAAUGGGCGCAAGCCUGAUGCAGCAACGCCGCGUGCGGGAUGACGGCCUUCGGGUUGUAAACGGCUUUCAGUAGGGACGAAGCUAACGUGACGGUACCUACAGAAGAAGGACCGGCUAACUACGUGCCAGCAGCCGCGGUGAUACGUAGGGUCCGAGCGUUGUCCGGAAUUAUUGGGCGUAAAGGGCUUGUAGGCGGUCCGUCGCGUCAGGAGUGAAAACUCGGGGCUUAACCCCGAGCCUGCUUUUGAUACGGGCGGACUAGAGGGAUGCAGGGGAGAACGGAAUUCCUGGUGGAGGGGGGGAGUGCGCAGAUAUCAGGAGGAACACCGGUGGCGAAGGCGGUUCUCUGGGCAUCACCUGACGCUGAGAAGCGAAAGCGUGGGGAGCAAACAGGCUUAGAUACCCUGGUAGUCCACGCCGUAAACGGUGGGCACUAGGUGUGGGGGACAUUCCACGUUCUCCGUGCCGAAGCUAACGCAUUAAGUGCCCCGCCUGGGGAGUACGG
rnacentral:rRNA from 1 species